rnacentral:tRNA from 1 species
GGUUGAAACCCCUUCAACUCCC